UAUAAGUUGGUCCAUUUCCAUAGCUAUUUAUACUUGAAAAUGUAACUUUUUGGCAAAUAUACAACAGGAUAAAGCUAAAACGAAAAUAUGAAAGGAAAGGAAAACAUGUUCUUAUCUUCCUAAAGUAUCAUAUUUGCUACUAGGAAUUGUUUCUGAAUGUCAGCUAUCAUAGGUCCAAAAUUAAGUGCACAUAACUAGAUAUGUGCACUUAAUAUGCGUAAUAUUUGAAAAAGCGUCAAAACAGACACUGUAAAUUUCAACAGACAUAAAGCCUAAUAAUGAUCAAAACUCAUGUAUAAUUGACAAGCUCUACAAAGUCUAUAAAUAAUAAUUAAGAGAAAAAGAGCCUAAGUUGGUGCAGAAAAGGAGCUGAGUUGUUUUGGCAUUGUAAUUAGAAGUUGAUAACUAUAGAUUUUGUCUUCUCAGUCAGAGAAUGGUAUUUGCAGGCAGGGCAUGUCUCCAAUGUAACCUUUAACUUCUUAUGUAUGUACUACUACAAGUAGUUGAUGGUUUAAUAAAUAUUUUAUGAAUAUAAAUGAUACUGUUAGUUUUAAGUCAAUAUUUGACAAUUUAAAUUUGUGACUACAAUUUAUAGAUAUAUCAUUGAAUAAAUAGCAUCUUUAACAUGUAUUAAUUUGGGUUACAGAGUAAUUUAGCGAUCAUUUUUUUUUUUUGGAAGAUUGAAUCAAAAUUUACUUAAAACUGUUCUCUGAAGUUACCAGAAAUUUAGAGGGUUUUUUUUGGCGGGGGGAGUGGGGAGUGGCAUCCCAGGAUUUCUUCUUAAACAUAAUGUUAUGACUGCUUGAAAGGAGGUAAAUCAAAGUCAUUCACUUUGAGUUUAGAGUCAUUGCUCAUUAUCAGUUGGUAGGUGUGGAAACAACUUAAUAAAGUUUGGGUAAUGUAGUUUCAGUUUAAAUUCUCAACUGGCAAUUGGCCGAAAAUUCCCAUCUGAAGACGUGAGCAUCCAAAUGUCAUUUUGUGAUUUGGCUGCUGUCUGCUUGACAUAGGAAGGCCCCAUCAAGAAAAACUAAUGGAGUGACUAUCAAAAGAAAAUCAAUGGAAAAUCUUAAACUUCCACCACAAGAAGAUUAAAAAGAGGUCCCUCCUGCACCAAGAAAGAUCUGCAGAUCUUUUUCAGUGUUCUUGGAGGUGUGGGGUGUGAGAACUUGAUCAGUUUGUGUCAGCCACCUUGUUCUCUAAAGUAGAUCUGGAAUGGGAUCCCAGGAUUUCUAAGACUUUCUAACAAGUUCCCGUGUGGUGCCGAUGCUGUUGUUCUGAGGACCGUAUUUUGAGAACCACUGCACUUAACUAAUAACAGAGGAGCUUAACUUCACCUCCCCAACAACUAAAAAUUAAUGAUGUUUGAAUUGCAUGUAUUAAGGGUAACUUUGUGAUUCUUUUCUAUUAGGUUAUAUCAUAGAGAUAAAUAAUGACCUUUUUUUCAGGUAGUUGGAACUCAUUUCUUCAGUUAUUUAAACACCAAAA